rnacentral:lncRNA from 11 species
CUCUUCUAUGGCAUUGUAUAUAAUGGGACGAGCAACCACCGAUUCGGGGAUCCAUGGAGCAUUUGGGCUAAAACCAAACCAUAGCAUAUAUUGAAAACCCACCACACACUGGGAAGUUUGACUUUUGCAGAUUGGAUUAUGUGGGGCUGCGAAGCCAACAUAUGGAAGAGAGUCUCAGCUUUGUCGCCAUCACAGCUUAAGCCUAUGCAAGAAUAUACUGAAGGGAAGUCCAAAAACAUCUGAGUUGUGGAUCCUCUCUUUUUUUGGAUGAUAGCUGCUGGG